UACAGAGGGGGCAAGCGUUGUUCGGAAUUACUGGGCGUAAAGGGCGCGUAGGCGGGAUGGCAAGUCCGUCGUGAAAUCUCUCGGCUCAACCGAGAAACGUCGGCUGAUACUGCCGUUCUUGAGGGAUGCAGAGGAGACUGGAAUUCCCGGUGUAGCGGUGAAAUGCGCAGAUAUCAGGAGGAACACCGAUGGCGAAGGCAGGUCUCUGGGCAUUAACUGACGCUGAGGAGCGAAAGCAUGGGGAGCGAACAGG
rnacentral:rRNA from 1 species